UACAGAGGCCUCGAGCGUUAGGCGGAAUCACUGGGCUUAAAGCGUGUGUAGGUGGAUGCCUAAGUGCCUUGUGAAAUCCCAUGGCUUACCAUGGAAUUGCUGGGCAUACUGGGCGUCUUGAGCCACUCAGGGGCUACCGGAACAAACGGUGGAGCGGUGAAAUGCGUAGAUAUGCGGAGGAACACCGAUGGCGAAGGCAAUCCCCUGGGCCUGUACUGACGCUCAUGCACGAAAGCGUGGGGAGCAAACAGG
rnacentral:rRNA from 1 species